rnacentral:rRNA from 1 species
CGAACGGGUGAGUAACGCGUGAGGAACCUGCCUCAAAGAGGGGGGACAACAGUUGGAAACGACUGCUAAUACCGCAUAAGCCCACGGCUCGGCAUCGAGCAGAGGGAAAAGGAGCAAUCCGCUUUGAGAUGGCCUCGCGUCCGAUUAGCUAGUUGGUGAGGUAAUGGCCCACCAAGGCGACGAUGUCUAGGGGUUCUGAGAGGAAGGUCCCCCACAUUGGAACUGAGACACGGUCCAA